CGUGUGCACUAUUUAAAUCCCUGAAGCUGACAUAACGUUGGCUACACAUUUUGUGAUUCUACGAGAGUGUCAAGAUGAUGCUAAACAGAAGCGAAUUUUUGUUAAUUUUUGCUGCCCUCAUUCCAAGCCUGUUUAUCACGCUUUGUAACGCUCUGCCAGAAGAAGACGAACCACCAUGGCCGGCCAUGGAGUUUUUUAAGCGUUCAGCAGCACAAAAUGGCUUAACGUUACCGGAACAAAAUUCAACCAAUCCCACCAAGGUUAAGCGUGAUGCAGUGAGGUCCCUGUUUUUACGGAGACUCCGAUCCCCGGGUUUUGAAUGUGUGCAAGGAACAAGGUCAAAGAUGUGUUACAAUAAGGAUACAGGCGAAAUGGUACUGCAUCGUAUCAACGAAGGUGGUCGAGUAGGAAGGUAGCAUCCAGUGUGUUCGUUGCUGCUUUGCAAUAAAUGUU